rnacentral:tRNA from 1 species
GCGCCUGUAGCUCAGUGGAUUAGAGUAGCUGGCUUCGAACCAGUUGGUCGGGGGUUCGAGUCCCUCCAGGCGUACCA